rnacentral:rRNA from 1 species
ACAGCGCGGUGGUCCCACCUGACCCCAUGCCGAACUCAGAAGUGAAACGCCGUAGCGCCGAUGGUAGUGUGGGGUCUCCCCAUGUGAGAGUAGGGA